AUUGAACGCUGGCGGCAGGCCUAACACAUGCAAGUCGAACGAGUGGCGGACGGGUGAGUAAUGUCUGGGACACUGCCCGAUGGAGGGGGAUAACUACUGGAAACGGUAGCUAAUACCGCAUACCAUCGGAUGUGCCCAGAUGGGAUUAGCGAGUAGGUGGGGUAAAGGCUGACCUAGGCGACGAUCCCUAGCUGGGCUGAGAGGAGGACACGCCACACUGGAACUGAGACACGGGCCAGACUCAUACGGGAGGCAGCAGGGGGGAAGAUUUCGCAAUGGGCGCAAGCCUGAGGCAGCAAGGCCGCGUGUGUGAAGAAGGCCUUCGGGGUGUAAAGUACUUUUAGCGAGGAGGCGUUACUCGCAGAAGAAGCACCGGCUAACUCCGUGCCAGCAGCCGCGGUAAUAC
rnacentral:rRNA from 1 species